AUUGAACGCUGGCGGCAGGCUUAACACAUGCAAGUCGAGCGGGGGAAGGUAGCUUGCUACCGGACCUAGCGGCGGACGGGUGAGUAAUGCUUAGGAAUCUGCCUAUUAGUGGGGACAACAUCUCGAAAGGGAUGCUAAUACCGCAUACGUCCUACGGGAGAAAGCAGGGGAUCUUCGGACCUUGCGCUAAUAGAUGAGCCUAAGUCGGAUUAGCUAGUUGGUGGGGUAAAGGCCUACCGAGGCGACGAUCUGUAGCGGGUCUGAGAGGAGGAUCCGCCACGCUUGGACUGAGACACGGCCCAGACUCCUACGGGAGGCAGCAGUGGGGAAUAUUGGACAAUGGGGGGAACCCUGAUCCAGCCAUGCCGGGUGUGUGAAGAAGGCCUUAUGGUUGUAAAGCACUUUAAGCGAGGAGGAGGCUACUUUAGUUAAUACCUAGAGAUAGUGGACGUUACUCGCAGAAUAAGCACCGGCUAACUCUGUGCCAGCCGCCGCGGUAA
rnacentral:rRNA from 1 species